rnacentral:rRNA from 1 species
GACGAACGCUGGCGGCGUGCUUAACACAUGCAAGUCGAACGGAAAGGCCCUGCUUUUGUGGGGUGCUCGAGUGGCAAACGGGUGAGUAACCCGUGAGUAACCUGCCCUUGACUUUGGGAUAACUUCAGGAAACUGGGGCUAAUACCGGAUAGGAGCUCCUGCUGCAUGGUGGGGGUGGGAAAGUUUCGGCGGUUGGGGAUGGACUCGCGGCUUAUCAGCUUGUUGGUGGGGUAGUGGCUUACCAAGGCUUUGACGGGUAGCCGGCCUGAGAGGGUGACCGGCCACAUUGGGACUGAGAUACGGCCCAGACUCCUACGGGAGGCAGCAGUGGGGAAUAUUGCACAAUGGGCGGAAGCCUGAUGCAGCAACGCCGCGUGCGGGAUGACGGCCUUCGGGUUGUAAACCGCUUUCGCCUGUGACGAAGCGUGAGUGACGGUAAUGGGUAAAGAAGCACCGGCUAACUACGUG